rnacentral:rRNA from 1 species
GAUGAACGCUAGCGGCAGGCUUAACACAUGCAAGUCGAGGGGUAGAGGCUUUCGGGCCUUGAGACCGGCGCACGGGUGCGUAACGCGUAUGCAAUCUGCCUUGUACUGGGGGAUAGCCCAGAGAAAUUUGGAUUAAUACCCCAUAGUAUUUUCGGUUGGCAUCAACUGAUUAUUAAAGUUUUUCGGUACAAGAUGAGCAUGCGUCCCAUUAGCUAGUUGGUAUGGUAACGGCAUACCAAGGCUACGAUGGGUAGGGUUCCUGAGGGGGGGGUCCCCCACACUGGUACUGAGACACGGCCCAGACUCCUACGGGAGGCAGCAGUGAGGAAUAUUGGUCAAUGGUCGCAAGACUGAACCAGCCAUGCCGCGUGCAGGAUGAAGCAUCUAUGGUGUGUAAACUGCUUUUGUACGGGAAGAAACACUCCUACGUGUAGGGGCUUGACGGUACCGUAAGAAUAAGGAUCGGCUAACUCCGUGCCAGCAGCCGCCGUAAGAC